GCAAACACCACAGAUCAACACAAAACUCAAUUCGAGGGUGUAUUAUAGUCUUUCCAAAAUACUGUUUAUCAAUAUGAUAUUUGGGACAUUGCUGAUUGCUCUGUGUGUGGCAGUUUCUCUAAGCGACGCGGUCACCACUAGUUGUAAUAUAUAUAAUUGUGAGUUCAACCCAUGUGUUGACAUGAUCAGAAGACCUGGAGAAUGUUGCGCUUUUUGCCCGCACGGUCCAAACUGUUACGCCAUGGGACGGGUAAUCAGAGGUGGUAAAGAAACAGUUAUUGGCGAGUGGAAAUGUCGAUGUCCAACAUCAAAUGAACCAGGUUAUGAAGAGCUUGAAGGUAUCUGUUCUAAAAUGGAAGUUGAACUACACUGAGCUCAUGUUCUUGUGAAUAAAGAAUGUGCAAUAUGAA